rnacentral:tmRNA from 1 species
GGGGAUGUAUAGUAUCGACAGAAUUGCUCUUUAAAAACUGCAAGCCGGAUAGGAAACAUUAUCCGUUAAAUAUUGUUUCAAAACACAAACGGCAAAAAUAUAGCCGGCGCCUUGAUUAAACAGGCUGAAGAAAUGGCUGAAAAAGCCGAUGCAUUUGUGGCUGACCUUCUUGGUCAAAAACAAUAUGCUUACGCAGCUUAAUUUUUAAGGCUGCUUUAGUAAAUCUUCCUUUCUGACGAGAAACUAAGGCAUGUACAAAGUCAGGAUGCAAUAAUUUCGCUUUAACCUAGUAGAAAUUACUAAGUAAAAUAGGUUAGACGCUAAUCUUCCUGCUAACGGGUUACAAAUUAGCGUUAAAAUAUACACUAGCUAAGCUUGUAGGGGUUUUUGAAGUUACAAUUUUGGACGGCGGUGCAAAACCGCCCAUCUCCACAC